rnacentral:rRNA from 1 species
GUCACUGGCCAUACCACUCUGAAUGCCCGAGAUCUCGUUUGAUCUCAGGAGUUGAGCAGGGUUAGGUCUGGUUAGUACUUGGAUGGAAAAGAUGAUACUUAUU